rnacentral:rRNA from 1 species
AACGAACGCUGGCGGUAUGCUUAACACAUGCAAGUCGAACGCUGAGACUUCGGUCAAGGCGUGGCAGACGGGUGAGUAAUGCAUGGGAACGUACCUUUUGGUGGGGGAUAACGCAUGGAAACGUGCGACAAUACCGCAUAAGCCCUUCGGGGGAAAGCCUUGUGCGCCAGAAGAGCGGCCCAUGUCAGAUUAGGUAGUUGGUGAGGUAAAGGCUCACCAAGCCAAUGAUCUGUAGCUGAUUUGAGAGGAUGAUCAGCCACACUGGGACUGAGAACGGCCCAGACUCCUACGGGAGGCAGCAGUGGGGAAUAUUGGACAAUGGAGGAAACUCUGAUCCAGCAAUACCGCGUGAGUGAUGAAGGCCUUAGGGUUGUAAAGCUCUUUUAUUGGGGAAGAAAAUGACGGUACCCAAUGAAUAAGCCCCGGCUAACUUCG